UACGUAGGGCGCAAGCGUUUGUCCGGAAUUAUUGGGCGUAAAGAGCUCGUAGGCGGCCUGUCGCGUCUGCUGUGAAAUCCCGGGGCUUAACCCCGGGCGUGCAGUGGAUACGGGCUGGCUGGAGGCAGGCAGGGGAGAACGGAAUUCCCGGUGUAGCGGUGAAAUGCGCAGAUAUCGGGAGGAACACCGGUGGCGAAGGCGGAUCUCUGGGCCGUAACUGACGCUGAGGAGCGAAAGCAUGGGGAGCGAACAGG
rnacentral:rRNA from 1 species